AGGACCAGGAGUUGUCUAACUACAGCCUGGAAAAAAUGCAAAACAGACAAAUGCCCCCUCGGGGGACAGCGGGAGAAAGCUAAUAGACCAGUCCCUGGCUCCCCACCCACGGAGGUGGUUUAGGUGGGAAGCAUGAUGUGUUUGUCAAGGGGGACCCAAGGCUGCCUUCCUACGGCAGCUCUCCCGCCUUGGGCUGGAGGAAGGCAGGUGCUGAUGAUCCAAAACCAGCUCUGCCACCCAGAGGCUAUGUGGCUUGGGCUAAGCCCUCACCCUCCUGCAUCGAAGUUAGCCCUUCCACACCACAGGGGUUUGGCCCAGACCAUUUCAGACGUCUUAGUCUCUGGGGACAGCAACAGUGCCCCACAGGUCUGACCUUCACCAUGGUGUUGCUGUGCUCUGAGGUGACUACACCACCAGACUCCUAGACUCCUGGAUCUGAGCAGAAAUUGAUGGCACUGCUGAGGGCUGAGUGCGGUCCGAGACAGGCAGGCAAAGAGGGACCGGACCCAAUCCCGGCUUCGGAAAGUUCCCACCAGAGAAGGACAAAAAAGGAAACUCAGGUCCAGAAAGGUCACACAGCCAGUGAGUGAGUCAAUGCGAGGUUAUCCCAGCCUGAAGCCCGAGUUCUUCACACUUCACUUCAGCGCCUGCCUGGGCAGGCUUCCAACAAGGAGGACAUCUAGCCAACAGACCCCAAGAGAGGAGAACAAAGUCAGGACACAUACCAGCUGAGAAGUGUCCCUAAAAUGUCAUCUUA